ensembl:lncRNA
GGCACAGCUGCUUUCACAGGGUGGCCCGGUGUGUGCAGGCCAGGCGCCUUCCCCAUGAGAAGGCAAGGGGACCCCAGUGCAGGGCUCCAGGCUAGGGCCCCACUUCCCAAAGGCCGGGACCCACCACAGCCCAGCCCCUGCAGGGCGCUCCACCAGUACCACCUGGCCCUCCGCCUCUUCUGGGUGGGCAGGGUCCCCGGGUGCGCGAGGACGCUCUCAAAGCCGGAGCAGUGCGGGCCGCCUGGGCCAGGCCGCGCACAAGUCCUGGGCAGGGCCGCCCUGCGGUGGCCUGGAGCCGGAGUCCCCCCUGCCGUCCCCCCAUCUCUCCUUCCCUCGCACAAGCGCGACCGGCACCAAAUGGCAAAGCGCCGCUCCCCGAGCAGGGAGAGAUGCGCCCGGCCCGCGGGACUGCGCGGCUGCCUCGCCCCCCACGGCGCCCGGCCGGACGAAGCGAGGAGCGGGCUGCUACCCGGGCGCCAGCCCCCCACCCCACCCGCCGACCGUGCCGCCCUCCCUCCGCCCGCGCCGGUGCCCAGGCUGGGCAUGCGCGUUCGGCCUCCCUCCCGGUGAAGGGCAUGCCAGGGGACCCAGAGUCUGCUGUGACCCGCUAGGUGUUUGGCCUAAGCCCCAGGCCCCCAGGGAACUCUGGCCGGACCUCAGCCACCCAGUCCCAACCCCUAACCACAGACAGGAGUCUGGAGACUGAAGAUCAGACGGGGGUGCCCCUCUUGACCCCCCCCCCCCCACUCCCCUUCUCUCCCUGAGCACCUGUGUGCUUCCCUGCCUGGGACGGUGUUUCUGUACCCAGAUACCCUCUGCCACGAUAAAGGGGCUGUUCCGCUAUGAGACUGCCAUUCUUCCGUGUCAGUUUUGUAUGCACACACGUGGACACACACGCACACAUAUGCACACACACACCAGACAGGAUAGAAAGAAGCAAGAACAACAGCAAAAUAAGACACCAAAAUAGCUGUGUGACCUUGGGCAAGUCGCUGUUAUCUCCCUGCCCCUAGCCUUGGUCACAGGAUUCCUUGGGCCCUUCCCUGCUCUGAAAGCCAAGGAAUCCCUAAGACAGAGAGCCACCAAGGCAGAGGAGGAGGGAUGGGCGGGAGCAGACAGAUGGGUACCCACAGCAAGUGGGUGCUGCUCCCAAGUGCAGCCUGGGCUGGCCAUCAGCCUCCUGUCUGUGAAGUCCUCCAAGACACCCCUUGCUCCGCCUCCCUUCAGAGCUUACUCUCUGCUCCUCGCCCCACACCAGCGAGAGACCUUACCGUGGGGUCCCCGAAGUCCUGGGAGGUGGGCAGGCGCAUGACACAGGUUGGCCGAGUGCACAGUCCUCCUCUCUCUGUGCCUGCGUGGGUUUGCUCGGUCUAAUGGGAUGCUCCUGACACCCCUCCCAGCCCACACACACCGCACACACAAUGAACUGCAAACAUCGGGUAGCUGAGGCUGCUUGUGGCAGGAGGAGCGUGGAGCUGAGCCUCUGGGGCUUGGAGCAGCCCGCUGGCCCCGGAGGGAAGGCACAUUUUGGAUUCACUGCCAGCUUCCUUUCAUUCACAGCCACCAUUAAUUAGGUGGUCUUCUUGCAGCAGGUCACGCCCAGCAGCUCAGGGCACUGUACAAAGCCCAGCCACAGGGGCCUGGC